GGUGAAGAUGUCAAGGGCGCGCGGCGGAUGCCUUGGCGCAGGAAGCCGACGAAGGGCGCGGCAAGCGGCGAUACGCCCCGGGGAGGCGCAGACGGCCUUCGAUCCGGGGGUGCCCGAAUGGGGGAACCCAGCAGGGGUCAUGCCCUGCUACCAACGCCUGAAUCCAUAGGGCGUUAGGAGGCAACCCGGGGAACUGAAACAUCUCAGUACCCGGAGGAGGAGAAAUCAACCGAGAUCCCGGGAGUAGCGGCGAGCGGAACCGGGCCAGCCCAAACCGGGCCCCCCUCGGGGAGCCCGGGGUUGUAGGGCCGUCCAGGGCGGGGCUUGCCCCGCCGCGAGGUGAGAAACCGAGGUGGCAGCGGAACGGCAUGGGAAGGCCGGCCGCAGCGGGUGAGAGCCCCGUACGCGAAGCCACCCCGGCCUCGGGACGGUCCCUGAGUAGCGCGGGGCACGAGGAACCCCGCGCGAAGCAGGGGGGACCACCCUCCAAGGCUGAACACUCUCCUGCGACCGAUAGCGGACCAGUACCGUGAGGGAAAGGUGAAAAGCACCCCGGGAGGGGAGUGAAACAGCGCCUGAAACCGCGCGCCUCCAAGCAGUCGGAGCAGCCUUGCGCUGUGACGGCGUGCCUUUUGUAGAAUGAGCCAGCGAGUCGCGCUGCGCGGCGAGGUUAAGGGACACCGAGCCGCAGCGAAAGCGAGCCUGAACAGGGCGACGUGAGUCGCGCAGCGCGGACGCGAAGCCGGGCGAUCUACCCCAGGGCAGGCUGAGGCAGGGGUAAGACCCUGUGGAGGGCCGAACGCACGUCGGUUGAAAACGGCGGCGAUGACCCCGGGGUAGGGGUGAAAGGCCAAUCAAGCCCGGAGAUGUCUCGUUCUCCCCGAAAUGGCUUUAGGGCUAGCCUCGGGAGCUCUCCGGCGGAGGUAGAGCACCGGACCGGCGAGGGGGCGUCGCUGCCUGCCGACCCGGACCGAACUCCGAAUGCCGCCGGAUCUAGAUCCCGGGAGUCAGAGCGCGGGGGCUAAGCUCCGCGCUCGAGAGGGGAACAGCCCAGACCGCCCGCCAAGGCCCCCAAGUCGCAGCUGAGUGGCAAAGGAUGUGCGUACGCCCAGACAGCCAGGAUGUUGGCUUAGAAGCAGCCAUGCGUUCAAAGAGUGCGUAACAGCUCACUGGCCGAGUGGACAUGCGCCGACAAUACACGGGGCUAAGCUGCGCGCCGAAGCGGCGGACUGAUCAAUUCAGUGGUAGGGGAGCUUCCCCCGGGGGGCGAAGCGGAAGGGGCGACCUUCCGUGGACCGCGGGGGAGUGAGGAUGCUGGCAUGAGUAGCGAGAGCAGGGUGGGAAACCCUGCCGCCGUAAGCCCAAGGUUUCCUGGGCAAGGCUUGUCCUCCCAGGGUCAGUCGGGUGCUAAGCCGAGGCCGCGAGGCGUAGGCGAACGCGCGACAGGCGGACAUUCCUGUACCGCCGCGGCGCCGUCACGACCGACGGGGCGACGGAGGGGGGUAGGCCGGCGGGGUUCUGGACGCCCCCGUGAAAGCCGGUAGGCCGGGAGGGCAGGCAAAUCCGCCCUCCCACGACAAAGGCCGAGACGCGAGACGAAGCCGCAUGGCGAAGCGGCCGAGCCCGUACUCCCGAGAAAAACCCCUAGGCAGGCGCCGCGGCGCCCGUACCAAGACCGACUCAGGUGGGCGGGUAGAGCAUACCGAGGCGAUCGGGGGAACCGUGGUCAAGGAACUCGGCAUAAUCGCCCCGUAACCUAGGGAGAAGGGGUGCCGGCGGGGGUGGAGGGACUCGCUCCCCGAGCCCGGGCCGGCCGCAGCGAAGAGGCCCAAGCGACUGUUUACCAAAAACACAGGACUCUGCCAAGCCGCAAGGCGACGUAUAGGGUCUGACGCCUGCCCGGUGCCGGAAGGUCACGCGGAGGGGUCAGCCGCAAGGCGAAGCCCCGAAGCCAAGCCCCGGUAAACGGCGGCCGUAACUAUAACGGUCCUAAGGUAGCGAAAUUCCUUGUCGGGUAAGUUCCGACCUGCACGAACGGCGUAACGACUUGGGCGCUGUCUCGACCACGGACCCGGCGAAAUUGCACUGUUCGUGAAGAUGCGAACUGCCCGCGGAAGGACGGAAAGACCCCGUGAACCUUCACUGCAGCUUGGCGCUGGCCGACGGUUCGGCGCGUAGAGGAUAGGCGGGAGGCUGAGAAAGGGGGGCGCCAGCCCCCCCGGAGCCGCCCUUGGAAUACCGCCCUCGCAGCUCCGGCGGCCUAACCCCGCUCCGUCAUCCGGGCGGGGGACCGCGCCAGGCGGGCAGUUUGACUGGGGCGGUCGCCUCCCAAAAGGCAACGGAGGCGCGCGCAAGCUCGGCUCAGGACGGUCGGCAACCGUCCGCAGAGCGCAAGAGUGCAAGCCGGGCUGACUGCGAGGGAGACACCCCGAGCAGGGACGAAAGUCGGCUCUAGUGAUCCGGCGGCCCCGAGUGGAAGGGCCGUCGCUCAACGGAUAAAAGGUACUCCGGGGAUAACAGGCUGAUCUUGCCCAAGAGUCCACAUCGACGGCAAGGUUUGGCACCUCGAUGUCGGCUCAUCGCAUCCUGGGGCUGGAGCAGGUCCCAAGGGUACGGCUGUUCGCCGUUCAAAGCGGUACGCGAGCUGGGUUCAGAACGUCGUGAGACAGUUCGGUCCCUAUCCUCCGCGGGCGCAAGGGAACUGAGGAGAGCUGCCCCUAGUACGAGAGGACCGGGGUGGACGCACCUCCGGUGGCGCGGUUGUCGACCAACGGCACGGCCGCCUGGCCGCGUGCGGCGCGGAUAACCGCUGAAGGCAUCUAAGCGGGAAGCCGCCUCCGAGAUGAGUUCCCUCUCCGGUAAGGGCCCUGGCAGAACACCAGGUCGAUAGGCCGCAGCUGCAAGCGCCGCGAGGCGCUCAGGCGAGCGGCACUAACAGCCCGAGCUCUUCACCCC
rnacentral:rRNA from 1 species